GGCAGCAAAGGAUGUUGUGCUAGCUGAAAAGCCUGUGAUUGGUGAUGAUUCAAACCAACUCGAUCCUUCUCUCCUCGACGAACUUCUUUCCAAUAUGAGGUACGUGCAAGCAAAUGCUUAAUUCAACUUCUCGCACUUCUGUUUGACCUGUCCCGAGAACCUUUUUAUGACUUCAGUUUGAAAAUUUUCUAAUCUUCCAUUAAAAGAAAGACUUUGUGUUCGUGGGGGUGAUAGUUAACAUAAGGAUUGAUAAAUUUUUCCCCUUGGCUGCUGCUUUCUUUGCUCCUAGUUAUGUCAGUUUCAAUUUGAAAAAAUGAGUAUGUAGGUAGUUCUGUGAUUAAGUUAAUAUGUAUCUAGUUAUAACAGACUCCUCUCCGUAUUGCAGGCAGCAAAAGAUGUUGUGCUAGCUGAAAAGCCUGUGAUUAGUGAUGAUUCAAACCAACUCGAUCCUUCUCUCCUCGACGAACUUCUUUCCAAUAUUGCUACUUUAUCCUCUGUCUAUCAUAAGCCUCCAGAAGCUUUUGUUACUCGUGUGAAAACCACUCAGAGAACUGAGGAGGAGGAGUAUGCUGAUGCAGGUGAACAGGGCCUUUCUGAUUCUCCUGCUCGUGUUGCAGAAAGUGGUGCCUCACCUCCAGCUAGUGCCGCACAUGCUCAGCAUCCUGCAGCAAGGCAACCAGCUGCACCUGCAGCUCCAGCAGCCCUGCCUGAUUUACUUGACCUUGGUAUGGAUAACAGCAAUAGUGCUAACAUGCUCAGCAUCCUGCAGCAAGGCAAACAGCUGCACCUGCAGCUCCUGCAGCCCUGCCUGAUUUACUUGACCUUGGUAUGGAUAACAGCAAUAGUGCUAUUGUGUCGGUUGAUCAGCCUGCAACCCCUGCCGGGUAUGUACAGUUCGUUUGCGUUAGUACUAUAAAGACUGUCGUUGCGAUGUCUUAUAAUGUCACAAGCAUAAUGAUUGAAGGCGGCCAUUUCUAAAUUAUGAAUCUAAGUAUGCUAAAGGAGUUCACACUUCUUUUUUGUUAAAAAUUUGCCACCCUUUUUGUUUGAUCAUUAUGUUUCAAACUAUUUGAGAUCACAUUCGUG
rnacentral:lncRNA from 1 species